rnacentral:rRNA from 1 species
CAGCCGCCGCGGUAAUACCGGCGGCCCGAGUGGCGGCCACUAUUAUUGGGCUUAAAGCGUCCGUAGCCGGGUUGGUUAGUCUCCCGGGAAAUCUGGCCGCUUAACGGUCAGAAUUCCGGGAGAUACUGCCAGCCUAGGGACCGGGAGAGGCCGAGGGUAUUCCCGGAGUAGGGGUGAAAUCCUAUAAUCCCGGGAGGACCACCUGUGGCGAAGGCGCUCGGCUGGAACGGGUCCGACGGUGAGGGACGAAGGCCAGGGGAGCAAACCGGAUUAGAUACCCGGGUAGUCCUGGCUGUAAACGAUGCGGACUUUGUGUCGGACAAGCUAUGAGCUUGUCCGGUGCCGGAGGGAAACCGUUAAGUCCGCCGCCUGGGGAGUACGGCCGCAAGGCUGAAACUUAAAGAAAUUGGCGGG